GUGGGGAAUUUUGGACAAUGGGCGCAAGCCUGAUCCAGCAAUGCCGCGUGCAGGAUGAAGGCCUUCGGGUUGUAAACUGCUUUUGUACGGAACGAAAAGCCUGGGGCUAAUAUCCCCGGGUCAUGACGGUACCGUAAGAAUAAGCACCGGCUAACUACGUGCCAGCAGCAGCGGUAAUACGUAGGGUGCAAGCGUUAAUCGGAAUUAAUUGGCGUAAAGCGUGCGCAGGCGGUUUUGUAAGACAGUGGUGAAAUCCCCGGGCUCAACCUGUGAACUGCCAUUGUGACUUCAAGGCUAGAGUGCGGCCGAGGGGGAUGGAAUUCCGCGUGUAGCAGUGAAAUGCGUAGAUAUGCGGAGGAACACCGAUGGCGAAGGCAAUCCCCUGGGCCUGCACUGACGCUCAUGCACGAAAGCGUGGGGAGCAAACAGGAUUAGAAACCCCUGUAGUCC
rnacentral:rRNA from 1 species